rnacentral:lncRNA from 1 species
CCUCGGCCUCCCAAAGUGCUGGGAUUACAGGUGUGAGCCACCGCGCCCGGCCAGCUUGCACCUUAUUUAGGAUAUGUGAUUAUUAUAGCAAGUCUGGUGUACAUACAAGAUUUUGAAUGGGCACAGAUGACCUUUAGUAAGUGCUUGGCUGUGAUAAGAGGCAGUCCUGACUGCAGAUCAGGCUGUGUGGACCCCAGCCUUGCAUGUUUACAGACCUUCAUGUCUUAUUCUUACAGGGUAUCAGAAGAACACCUACUGGGGAAACUUAUAAAUUAGUAAAAGGUGGGCAUUCUCCCCGCCCAUCUUCUGUCUGUCUGCCAGGACUAGCACAGCACUUUGAAGUCAUUCACAUAGAAUCCCAACUUAAGAGGGUAAAAUCCUCCUCAACAGACUGAAAAUAAGUUUAAAUUCCCUUUGCUAUAUUAACUCCCCUGAGGAAAGAGUCUUAGAUCAAUGUCCAACACUAAAAACAGUUUUAAAUCAGCAAGUGAGAAUUAAAUCUGAAGCAAUUGAUAAUAAUGUUUCAUUCAUUCCUCUCCUUUGGCCCCGUCCACCCUACUGCUAAAUCCAGGCAUCAAAGAGAAGAGGGACAUAAUUAUCUCUAGUCCCAGCUGCUGGUUUUCCUUCCAGCCUAUGGCCCAGUUUUCUGUUUUACUGAGAAGGCUGGUGAUGUUAUCUUGGGAUCUAAGUCUGCAGUUUCACCACAAAAAGUCCAGGGAUGCACUUUCAUGCUUGUGUCCUCCUCCCUGGGAUAGCAAGGAUAUUAGAAGACCCCUGGCUCUGUAAUUGCUUGUCAUGUGCUCUACAGACGCCACAGAAUGCCAAGAACGAAGUGCUGGGAAGGACAAAUUCAUGGAACCGUGGGACGGUGCUCCUCCCCCAGCGUAAAGGACAGCUCCUCCUCCUGAAUUGGAGCCAGCGUUCUAAAUCAUGUGUCAACAGAGUUGUCCUGGAUCGGAUCCAGUUCUGCCAUUGAUUUGCAGGUCAUUUCAGUGGUACCUGUUUCCAGUUGUUCUUAAUUGAACAGUGGCACCAAACUAUUGUCUUGCCUCAUCCCCCUCCCAUGGCCUGUCCCCCAAAAAGAGACUUCUUGGGUAAUUAAUCAGGGCAACAUCAGGCAGUCUGGGCGCGGUGGCUCACGCCUGUAAUCCCAGCACUUUGGGAGGCCGAGGCGGGCAGAUCAUGAGGCCAGGAGAUCGAGACCAUCUUGGCUAAC